rnacentral:rRNA from 1 species
UACGAAGGGGGCUAGCGUUGUUCGGAAUUACUGGGCGUAAAGCGCACGUAGGCGGAUACUUAAGUCAGGGGUGAAAUCCCGAGGCUCAACCUCGGAACUGCCUUCGAUACUGGCAAUCUUGAGUCCGGGAGAGGUGAGUGGAACUGCGAGUGUAGAGGUGAAAUUCGUAGAUAUUCGCAAGAACACCAGUGGCGAAGGCGGCUCACUGGCCCGGUACUGACGCUGAGGUGCGAAAGCGUGGGGAGCAAACAGGG